rnacentral:lncRNA from 1 species
CAGAAAUAUGGACACAUUUUUUAUUUCAGAAAUUCCCUAAGUAAUGUUGGUUGUAAAACUAUAAUUUAUCUAGAAAUGGUUGCCCAUUGCCUCCCUCUUCAUCUGUACCGUCUGUCUCUUCAGCGUGGUCCAGGUUGUCACCAUCAGUCCUGGGACCACCCUUUCAAGAAAGCUCUAACCACAUACUCCAUGGCAUUUCCUUGAAUUGCUACUCCUUUGCAUAAUUAAUUGCCUGAUAAGCUCCAACUUGCUGCACUAUAUCACAGCAGGCAGUAAAGCACACAGGUCAGUAGUUGGGAUGUUUUCUUGGUAUUGCUAUAUGCUGCCAUUCAGGCACAGUUAAAUGACUGAUGUUCUCUCUCAUGGCUCUUUGUGAUGUCAUUUUCCAGGGUCUAAUGGGCUGGAGCAGUAGGCUUAUAGAUUUCCAUCUAUAGAAACAUCAUGUCCAUGUUCUCUACCUUCACAGCUCCAGGUCUGUAAACAAUUCCAGACCAGAUAUCAGAGUGACCAAAAGGGUUCUCACCCUCAUGACCUGUUUUCUUUUCUUCUAUUGGGCACAUUUUAUGUUCUCCUUCUACAUAGGUUCCACAGUGACACAUGAUUCCACAAUACUAAAUAUUAAAGCAUUUUUAGUACUUAGUUAUGCUGGUCUCAGACCCUUUGCCCUGAUCAUCAGAGAUUUCUGUUCUGCUAGAGCACCGCUGUGUCUCUUGAGAAAUAAGAAC